rnacentral:rRNA from 1 species
UACGUAGGGACCAAGCGUUGUCCGGAAUCAUUGGGCGUAAAGAGCGUGUAGGCGGCUUGUUAAGUCUUGCGUGAAAACUCGGGGCUUAACCCCGGGCCUGCAGUGGGUACGGGCAGACUAGAGUGCGGUAGGGGAGACUGGAAUUCCUGGUGUAGCGGUGAAAUGCGCAGAUAUCAGGAGGAACACCGAUGGCGAAGGCAGGUCUCUGGGCCACUACUGACGCUGGAGGUGCGAAAGCGUGGGGAGCAAACAGG